rnacentral:rRNA from 1 species
GACGAACCGUGCGAACGUUAUUCGGAAUCACUGGGCGUAAAGCGUCUGCAGGUGGUUUCCUAAGUCCACUGUUAAACCUUGAGGCUCAACCUCAAAUCUGCAUUGGAAACUAGGAGACUUGAGUAUAGUAGGGGUAGAGGGAAUUUCCAGUGGAGCGGUGAAAUGCGUAGAUAUUGGAAAGAACACCGAUGGCGAAGGCACUCUACUGGGCUAUUACUGACACUCAGAGACGAGAGCUAGGGGAGCAAAUGGG